AGCUCCAGUAGCGUAUAUUAAAGUUGUUGCAGUUAAAAAGCUCGUAGUUGGAUCUCGGGUCGUCGACAGCGGUUCGGGUUCAUGCCCGCCUACUGCUGCCGACACCUAACCGGCGGGAGGCGCCGGGUGCCCUUGACUGGGUCGCCCGUCGCGCCCGCCCAGUUUACUUUGAAAAAAUUAGAGUGUUCAAAGCAGGCUCCGACGCCUGAAUAAUGGUGCAUGGAAUAAUGGAAUAGGACCUCGGUUCUAUUUUGUUGGUCUCCGGAACUCGAGGUAAUGAUUGAGAGGGACAGACGGGGGCAUUCGUAUUGCGGUGUUAGAGGUGAAAUUCUUGGAUCGCCGCAAGACGAACUACUGCGAAAGCAUUUACCAAGGAUGUUUUCAUUAAUCAAGAACGAAA
rnacentral:rRNA from 1 species